rnacentral:rRNA from 1 species
CUACGGGUUGCUCCAGUGAGGAAUAUUGCACAAUGGGGGGAACCCUGAUGCAGCAACGCCGCGUGGAGGAUGACACAUUUCGGUGUGUAAACUCCUUUUAUAUGUCAAGAAAAUGACGGUAGCAUAUGAAUAAGCACCGGCUAACUCCGUGCCAGCAGCCGCGGUAAUACGGAGGGUGCAAGCGUUACUCGGAAUCGCUGGGCGUAAAGGACGCGUAGGCGGGUUGGAAAGUCAGGUGUGAAAUCCUACAGCUUAACUGUAGAACUGCACUUGAAACUUCUAAUCUAGAGUAUGGGAGGGGGAGAUGGAAUUAGUGGUGUAGGGGUAAAAUCCGUAGAUAUCACUAGGAAUACCUAAAGCGAAGGCGAUCUCCUGGAACAUUACUGACGCUAAGGCGUGAAAGCGUGGGGAGCAAACAGGAUUAGAUACCCUUGUAGUC